CUUACAUAAGGCGGCAUCGGCGUGACUCCAGGUGCCGGUGGGAGGCAGCGUGGGGGGAGCGCAGGGGCGAGAAGAGUCUCCAAGCUGCAUGCGGGUGUCUCUCCCUCUCCUUACAUCUCAGCGUCAUCUUGCGUCUGCCAGCUCGGUCACCCACUUGCUGGUUGGAAUACAUUAACUGGAAAUGCAGAUUUAAAUAACUCGGGCAGGUGAUGAGGCCCCCCGGCACCCGCCCAGUGGCGCCAGGGGCCCUGGAAGUCACCGGAAACGUGUGUCGGGAGCAGAGAGGAGGGAGCCCGUUGUCUGGAAGCUGCACCUGGAGGACCCUCGGAACCCAAGCCUGGGUUUCCCACCAGGAGAACCCCGGAGGCCUUGCAGGAAAGUCAGAGCCCAGCUGCCUGCUGGGCACAGGCGCCUGCCGGGAAGCCGGUGGCCCUGCCCUGCAGCCCCAGGAAGCCCAGGAGGUGGCUUUGGGCGGCAGGUCUAAGGGGCGGCGGCUGCAGGACCACGGCCCCCAGUGCUUUGCUGUCAGACUCCAGCCUCGGGCUCCCAGCCCAGCAUCCCAGUGGGCGGAGAGGACGGAGGAUGCAGCCGGCCCGGGCUGACCAGGGGCCCUGCCCCGGACAAGUGACCCAGCAUCCCGGCCCCUGGGCUGCGGAGAAGGAGGACGCGGGGCGCCGGCGGGCGGGUGGGCAGGGACGCCACAUCGGGGGACCUCCACUGCCACCUGGUGGACAGCCCAGGAAGGCGCCGGGGCCGUGUGGCAGGCGCAGAGGGGCGGCCUGGGCGCAGAGAAGGUGGGCUACUUGGCACGUGCAGAGGGUCUGGGAGGGGGCAGGGUGGACAGGCCGCGGGACUGGGCUGCAGGAACAGAGCGGGUGGUGAUAGGGCCAGGCUUCCCCGGCUAGGGUGGAAGUCUUGUGCCUGCCCCUGAGUCUGGACCAUCAGCAGGCUCUGGGGCACCUGCUCUGGGGGACCAGAGCUCUCAGAGACACAGGAAGAGCAGCACCCCAGCCAGCCAGGGCGCAGUGAGGAAGAAAAGCGAGAGCCAUUGUCAGCCUUCGGGGACGCGGACAGGGCCGUGAGGCCACCCUCCCUCCACCCCGGGGUCACUAGGAGAAAACUGCUCCUUGUGUAUUUUCAAAGGACACAUGCCAUCUUUUUUUAAAGACUCGAGAUAAAAUUCACAUAACAAAAGUCAGCUUUUUCUCUUUUUAGGGCCACACCUGCAGCAUAUGGAGGUUCCCAGGCUAGGGACCUGCAGCCGCCAGCCUCCACCACAGCCGCAGCCACGCAGGACGUGAGCCGCAUCUGUGACCUACGCCACAGCUGCGGCAACUCCAGAUCCUUUAACCCACUGUCCUGGAUGGGGAUUGAACCUGUGUCUCGGGGCUGCAGAGACACCGCCAACCCCACUGCGCCACAGUGGGAACUCCACUCCUUGGGUUCUUAACCUUCUGAGCCACAACAGUAACUCC
rnacentral:lncRNA from 9 species